UGGGUGAGAGCAUAUGACAGGCUGUCCUGCUCUGAGUUGUUUUUGUUCAUAAAAAAUUAACUGAAUUUUGAAGCAAAGGCUCUUCAAGUAUAUCUGAUGUCAGGUAUUUUCUGCUGUUGAAACUAAACAUUACAUUUUAACUUCAACUUUCCAACAAGUGCCAAGGCUAUGGGAAUUGCAAUUUUUGAUAUCGACCACUCCAAAAAAUAAAUUUGUUUGCCAAAAAUAAAGUUAUAGAGAACUACUAGGACAAUUGCAAAGUUACUGUAACAGCAUGGUUAAGAAGAUUGCUGACCUGCAAAACUUAAAGUGCCAGUACAUAAUAAUUAUUACUGUAGGUAUGACUGUAUAUAAUUUAACAGAAACCAGAUUUAAAAUAUGUUUUGUGAAUAAUAGUUUUAUAUUCCAUAACAUUACUAUAGAAUAUUUUUAACGAACAGGC